UCCCUGGUAGCUCAGAUGAUAAAGAAUCUGCCUGCAAUGCAGGACAUUUGGGUUCAAUCCCCAAGUUGGGAA
rnacentral:tRNA from 1 species